CCUACGGGAGGCAGCAGUGGGGGAUAUUGCACAAUGGGGGGAACCCUGAUGCAGCGACGCCGCGUGGGUGAAGGAGUGCUUCGGCAUGUAAAGCCCUAUCGGCAGGGAAGAAGCAAGACGGUACCUGACUAAGAAGCCCCGGCUAACUACGUGCCAGCAGCCGCGGUAAUACGUAGGGGGCGAGCGUUAUCCGGAUUCACUGGGUGUAAAGGGAGCGUAGACGGCCAUGCAAGCCAGGGGUGAAAGCCCGGGGCCCAACCCCGGGACUGCCCUUGGAACUGGGCGGCUAGAGUGCGGGAGGGGCAGGCGGAAUUCCUGGUGUAGCGGUCAAAUGCGUAGAUAUCAGGAGGAACACCGGCGGCGAAGGCGGCCUGCUGGACUGCGACUGACGUUGAGGCUCGAAAGCGUGGGGAGCGAACAGGAUUAGAUACCCCUGUAGUC
rnacentral:rRNA from 1 species